GUAAAGUUCUAUUAAAAGGCACAGCCUGGACACAAGUAGGCUGUGGGGAGUGAAGAGAGGGGUGUGCUCAAUAUUUUCAAUAGAGGAGGGCAGCCUCUGGCCCCACCUCCAUCUCACCCCAAGGCUAGUGAAAAGGUUACAGAUCCACCAGAGAGGUCAGAAGUGCCAGAUUCACUGGAGGAGAUCAGCAGAGGCACGAUCAGUGGUCCUUGGAUGGAAUGGAGAUGGGGUUUUAGGAUAGCUGACCUGACUUUGACGUGGCCAUCUCCAAAGCAUUUUUCUGACUGAGAGCCACAGGCCCUCAACAUCAACGUAAUUUGGAUACACUCAAGAAUCCACAGGCUUCACUCUGGAGACGAAGGGACUUAAACCACAUAUGGAAAGAGAGCAACUGUUGCUUCAAGUAAACAGAUGGAACUGUGACCUGAGUAUUUUGCCAAAGGGAAAUAAGAAAAGAAAGUAAAAGACUUGGGGUUGGGAGCCAGAAGAGAAUAAGCAUAGACAGCAGCACAAAGGUCAAUGGACUCAAGUUGAACAAGGUAGUGGGACGGGCAGUUAACAUUUAUUGAGCAGUCUACUGAGCACCAGCACUGGUCUAUCCACUUUCCCUGAGUCCUCUCAUUUCAUCCUGACGAUGACCAUUUGAGCGGAGAAACCUGACCCAGAGUACCUCAACCAAGUGAUCAAAGUUACCAUCACCAACAAUGGGACGGCCCAACAUCAUGUGCCGCCUGAUGGGAACGUACUCGAGAGGACACAGCAUUUCUUACAUACUGUACCUGCUGAACAUGCAUACCUUGCACGGGAACAUGAAAAAGUACCAGACAAACUCCAAACUGCUGGUCUGUACUCUUUUUAAAAUGUCAACAUCAUAAAAGGCAAUGAAAGCCUGAGAAACUGUUCCAGAUUAAAAGAAACUAAAGAAACAUGACAACUAAAAGAAAUAUGUGGUCUUGGAUUAGAUUCUGAGUUGGAGAUGGGGCUGGGGAGGAUUGCCAUAAUGGACAUUAUUGGAACAAUUGAUAAAAUUUGAUAAUGAACUUUCUAUUAAUAACAGUAUCAUGAAUAUUAAAUGUCCUCAAUUUAAUAAUUGUACAAUGUUUAUGUAUGCAUGUCCUUGUUCUUAAGAAAAAUAUAAGUAUGUAGAGGUAAAGAGGCAUGAUUUCUACUACUUACUUUCAAAUGUUUUUAGACAAUAUAUAUAAUGACAGAGAAAGAGAGAUAACAAAUGUGGCAAAAUCCUAAGAUUUGAUGCAUUUGGAUUAAGAGAAUACAGGAGUUAUUUUUAUUAUUCUUGAAACUUUUCUGUAAGUUUGAAAUUAUUUCAAAAUAUUGUUUAAAAAAUUCAGGUCUAUUUGUAUUCUGUUUGAAUGUAUUUUUUUAAUUAACUUUUGAAACAUUUUUGUCAAUGAGUCUUUGAUAAAGGCCAAGCUGGAGAUUUGUUUGUAGUACAAAAGUAACAUAUAUGUAACUUAAUGUGUAAAUUGAUGUUCGGCCCUAGAUUUCGAAGAGGUUAUUAAAGUUGUUGCAUGAAGAAAAAUAUAUUUGGAAAGAGGAUUUUACAUAGGAUCUUAGAGUCUUGUUGUAUGACUGAUCUUAUUACCAGCUUUUGGAGUUAAAAAAACAACACCACCAUUUUGAAAUCUUAAGAGUGUAAAGAGUAAGCAGAACAACUGAAAUAUCAGAUGGUAUAACCGCCAAGCAAAAUGGAGUAAAGUUUCUUGUGAGGAUCUUUGAUGAUAAACCAAUACACUGAAAAGCAGAAUGUGAAUCCUGAAAUGUUUUUGUCUCUAAGGAAAAGUUUUGGAUGAAUUGUUUUAUUAUCUUCCCAAGCUAGAACCAGAAUUAAAUUAAACGUGUUAAUAAC
ensembl:lncRNA